UACGUAGGGUGCAAGCGUUGUUCGGAAUUACUGGGCGUAAAGCGCACGUAGGCGGCUUUGUAAGUUAGAGGUGAAAGCCCGGGGCUCAACUCCGGAAUUGCCUUUAAGACUGCAUCGCUUGAAUCCAGGAGAGGUGAGUGGAAUUCCGAGUGUAGAGGUGAAAUCCGUAGAUAUUCGGAAGAACACCAGUGGCGAAGGCGGCUCACUGGACUGGUAUUGACGCUGAGGUGCGAAAGCGUGGGGAGCAAACAGG
rnacentral:rRNA from 1 species